GGUGGACAUGAGCUUCAGGGAGAUACUAUUCUCCAUGGUACGGUAGGUCUUGUAAUACAAGGUGGACAUGAGCUUCAGGGAGAUACUAUUCUCCAUGGUACGGUAGGUCUUGUAAUACAAGGUGGACAUGAGCUUCAGGGAGAUACUAUUCUCCAUGGUACGGUAGGUCUUGUAAUACAAGGUGGGCAUGAGCUUGAGGGAGAUACUAUUCUCCAUGGUACGGUAGGUCUUGUAAUACAAGGUGGGCAUGAGCUUGAGGGAGAUACUAUUCUCCAUGGUACGGUAGGUCUUGUAAUACAAGGUGGGCAUGAGCUUCAGGGAGAUACUAUUCUCCAUGGUACGGUAGGUCUUGUAAUACAAGGUGGGCAUGAGCUUGAGGGAGAUACUAUUCUCCAUGAUACGGUAGGUCUUGUAAUACAAGGUGGGCAUGAGCUUGAGGGAGAUACUAUUCUCCAUGGUACGGUAGGUCUUGUAGUACAAGGUGGGCAUGAGCUUGAGGGAGAUACUAUUCUCCAUGGUACGGUAGGUCUUGUAGUACAAGGUGGGCAUGAGCUUGAGGGAGAUACUAUUCUCCAUGGUACGGUAGGUCUUGUAGUACAAGUUGGACAUGAGCUUGAGGGAGAUACUAUUCUCCAUGGUACGGUAGGUCUUGUAAUACAAGGUGGGCAUGAGCUUCAGGGAGAUACUAUUCUCCAUGGUACGGUAGGUCUUGUAAUACAAGGUGGACAUGAGCUUGAGGGAGAUACUAUUCUCCAUGGUACGGUAGGUCUUGUAGUACAAGGUGGGCAUGAGCUUGAGGGAGAUACUAUUCUCCAUGGUACGGUAGGUCUUGUAGUACAAGGUGGACAUGAGCUUGAGGGAGAUACUAUUCUCCAUGGUACGGUAGGUCUUGUAAUACAAGGUGGACAUGAGCUUCAGGGAGAUACUAUUCUCCAUGGUACGGUAGGUCUUGUAAUACAAGGUGGACAUGAGCUUGAGGGAGAUACUAUUCUCCAUGGUACGGUAGGUCUUGUAAUACAAGGUGGACAUGAGCUUGAGGGAGAUACUAUUCUCCAUGGUACGGUAGGUCUUGUAAUACAAGGUGGACAUGAGCUUGAGGGAGAUACUAUUCUCCAUGGUACGGUAGUUCUUGUAAUACAAAACCUACUUUUGUCAUUUUGUUUUUCAUUGCUUCAUUAUAAUGUUGAUGGGGACAAAAAAAAAUCAAUUUCCAGCCAGGCCACUGUCCAUGAGGAGUUUGCAUGUUCUCCUCAGGUCUACAUGUCUAUAUGCUUUUCCCCUGGUUCUUCCAGGUUUGUCUUGCAUCCCAAAGCUGUGCCUCUUAGGUCCAUUGGUGUGUCUACAUGGUCCCAAUGUCAGUGA
rnacentral:lncRNA from 1 species